GUUGGGGAGAUGGUUUUCUGCUCUCUUUACGCUCCUGCCUUCGUCACCACCACCACCACCAGCACCACGAGCACCGUCAACACUGCAGACAGAGGUCAACCUGCUUCUGAGUGCUUGCCUUGCAGUGCAUCCGGCAAGUGGACCUGAUUCGGCCAAUUGUAAUUUGAUCCAGAGAGCAUGUGUCUAGAAACAUCACUCUGUGCUACCUCAAACAUCUGAAGAGGUUGCUUCAUGUAAAACCUCCUUGUUACUGCGGUAUUUUUGAAAAAGAAACAGGUGUGCCUCUAAAUGUUGCAGAGGUGGUCCAUCAUCCUUACAACUGUAAGAGAUGAACAUUCGUUUUAGCCAAGUCAUAAAAGCUCUCUGAUCCUCUCGCCGUGCCUUCUGAUCAGAGAAUUAAAUGCAGAUUUUUAAGAUCUCAGUAAUGUCAGAAUUAAUGGUUCAGCCACUACCCUUUCCCCGUCUUAUAUUUAUCUUGGUUUCAUAACAGAUUGGUAGACUUAAAUCCACCAUGUGACAAAGGCUUGUUUUCACUAUGCACUUUAUUCCGGAUCAUUCUAGGCUGAUGAUUUAAUUAUCCAUUUUAUCUUUUGCCAUAUCAUGAAGAUGACUGACUUGAGAGUAUAUAGUAUCUGUAUUCUACCAAUGCUGAUGUAUGAAUAAUCAAACACAUUUAACUAGUCAAAUAACUGAUCUCAUAUUUUCAUCUUUGUGGGUCUGCAAUUCUGCUUCCAAAUACUGUAUCAGUUGGGAUUGAAAGAAUAGGAAAGCACUAAAGGUGUGUUUUUUGUUCUGUUGGUUUGUUUUUAAGAAAUAGGAACAGGAAGGGAUUAAAAUAUAAAAAGAAUGAUACCCUCUUCUCCAAACCAAAGAAAGGUUAGAAAGAAUUGAUCCCAUUCUGGAGUCCUUAGAAGAAUAGCCAUGACAACACAGAACUGAUUCUCCAGGCUGGGAUGCUUUGCCACUGCCACAGUCUUCACCCAAAAAUACUUUGGGUCCCUCUCACUUCUAGCUUCUGCUCAAAUGUAUGUAUAUCAGUGAAGCUAUUUCUGACCACCCAACAUAACAACCCACCCAACAUAUUUUAUAUGGUAUUGUUAUUUUCUGUUUAGUAAAUCCUAUCUGACAUGUA